GGCAAAAGCAAUGAUAGUAUGUUUCUAAUUAUGAUAUUAUGAACUAAUAUGAUGAACACAUUAUCGAUGCUCCCACUUAGUUUUACCAUUGCACAAACCCUCGACCAAUAUGUAUAAUUUUAAGAGUGAUGUCUGUAAUUUGGCUCUCGGCGAUGUGUGAAAUCCGAAACUCGUGAAAAAGCCUACGGAGUACCAGGUUUUGGGGAGGUUGNCCUCUAUUUCAAAAUUGAAUGUUAUGAUAAGAAUCAUUCUUUACUACGUGGUUAGUGAAUGAGAAAAACAAAACAGCUCGUCAACAUUGAUAAUACAAGUAUUUUAUAAGUAAACAAUAUAAUAUAUUUAAUAAAAAUAGAAAUUAUCUUUAAAAACCUAGUUGAUAUGUUUUAUCUUUGUCUUACGGACUCGAUGAGAAAAAAAAAGGCCAGCGCGUUGUACUUCUUAAUCAAUUCUCCUUGCCUUAAUUCUUUUAAUGAAUUUUUCAUCCUCAUAAAGCAAUGCUUUAUUAGACCCUGACAAAAGAAAACCUUAAUUAGACGCGCGGCACAUCACAUCAAAAACUCGUUGAAGAACGACAUAUUCCAAACAUUAGUCUUAUCUUAUGCUCUGUACGACUGGAACUAAAUCUUGAGUAUUUCCUCUGAGUCUUUCAUGCUGGUUGAGAACUGAACCGCUUCGUUUGGGUCGUGUAAACUUGAACACUUGAUCUAUAUGUGCCAAGUAUCGGGUCUUAUCGUUCCUCCAUUGAUUUAGCGAUCUGAGAGUUAUCGCAAUCUUCAGGUCAGUUCCGGGCUGUAUAUUCACCAUCUGCAGNUCUUGAAACCAAGAUAUCUUACGCUCUUUUAGUCGAGGUUUAGUCAAGAAGGGCGAGGCAUUUGAUACUAAUAACAGUUAAUAUUAUCUAUUAACCAAUGGCAUGGAGCCACGUUCUCCAAAACUGGACUGACUCAACACAAUCUACCUCUUUUUCAAGAACUUUGCUGUGUAGAAAUCGGUUUUCAAUGUGGUUCGUUACCUUCUAACUGGGUUCUCUGUGUGCUCACUCGGACACCUUUGUUGUUAGACUACUAAUGCUGUUAUUUGCAAGCGUCUUUGCUUCAUCAACUGGAUGGCUCUUCCACGCGUCGAUAUUAGGGUGACAAAAGCUUCAACACCGAACUACCCUUGUCAGGCUUCCGUCAAGCGGAUGGCUUGACGCUUAGUGCACUGUUCAAAAUUAAAAAAUUAAUAACUUCACUAUCGCAACAUUAAUGUGAAUUAGUACCGCCUUUUUGAGAUUGGGGUUUUUAAUCUUUUUUGUUUGCAUGGUACAAUAUUUGCCUUUGAAAUUCACGUUAGUUCUGAUUAAUCCCACCAAACAAGCGCUGAAUUCCAUGUGGGAUUAACUUCAUUAAGAAUAUAUGGCAAAACCUUUUAAAAAGUACAACUUAAGCUUCUUAGGAGCUUUGUGCUCUUUUGUUGUCUCGUUAUGUUACGAGUGCUAAACUCCACGACGUCCACAAUAAUCAUGUUUGUUGAGUAAUAUUUAUCCUUUCUUACAGCGAGUGGAUUUAAAGCUUUAGGUUUUUUAGGUCAUGGAUGAUUGUUUAUUGAUCAUAAUUGUAAAAUAAAGCUUUAAAGUGCCAUUUAAAGUUAACAGUAGAAGUUUUAGGGUUUAAAAUGGUCAUUUCGAAAAUGCGUCGGCUUCAACCGCGUGGGAUAAAUCCGCGUCAAUGCGUUCUAAAGCUGACGUAGUUCUUUUCUAACUAUCUAAAGUGCGCACGCGGUGUACAGGAAUUGCUUGAUCUUAAAAGAAAAAAAAAAUCUUUAAAAAAUCUGUCGAAUAUAAAGCUGCAUGGGUCGUUGAAUUAUUUUAUUUGCAAUUCUUACAUCUUGUUGCUAUGUUUUUAAAAUCCAAUAAACAUCUAUUGUGUUUUUUUGUUAAAAACUACUGCGCGCGCUCUGCAGACAUCGCGCUGUGUCGCUUACGCAUUUCAACAAAAACUCCAACCGCUUUCAGUUUAAUAAAUGCAAAACAUGGCUUCUAGAAGUUGCAGUUUACGGACAAAGUUUGAACAAGAGAAAGGUCUUGGCCAGGAAACGAUCACCUGUCUUUGUAGUCCUGGAAACCAAAAUGAUCAACCAAGCCUUGAUACAAGAGAGGGAAUCGUCCAAGAGAUUCAACGCAUUCUUGACGAUGAUAAAAAACCUUUCCGAUAUCUCCGAAGACAAAGCAAUCGUUUCAAAAGACCAAAACUUUCCGAGGUUUGUGACAUCAGCUCGCCAGUCACUCUCUUGACUAUGAAGACUCACAAUGGAAAAGAUUUCACUCUGUUUUCACCCCGAAAAGACUGCAAACGAAAACGAGAUGACGAUUCUGGAACGGUACAUUAAACUGUGUAAAUUGAACUAAAGUUAAUAUUAGUUAUAAAAUAAAAAGUAAAUUUCAAAAAGGAGAUUUNUUCAUUUGAUUCCUGAUUCUGAUUUGCAAUUAUUUAGAUGACAUUAGUAUCUAAUUAUUAUUACAAUCAGCAAAAAAUGAUUUUUCAUAUUCAUUUUCAAAAAUGAUUUAUACAUCUGCUACUAAGUAUAGCCAUCAUAUGUUAUCGUUUAUAUUUCAAUUUAAGUCAAUGCAAAAAAAUAUCCAAUUGCUGAUUAAUAAAANGAAUCCAUCGAAUCUUCAUUCUGAAAGAGAAAUAAUUGUAUUAGUAGAUCACGAAAAGUACGGAACCAUCUUGAAUCCAUAGUGUUAUGGUAAUAAAAACUCCGUAGUAUAGCUAUUUCAAGC
rnacentral:lncRNA from 1 species